rnacentral:rRNA from 1 species
CGUCUAUAUACGUAUAGCAUAUCAAUAAGCGGAGGAAAAGAAACUAACUAGGAUUCCCUUAGUAACGGCGAGUGAAGCGGGAAGAGCUCAAAUUUGAAAUCUUCAAGGUUCUACCUUGACGAAUUGUAGUUUAAAGAAGUGUUUUCUGUUGGAGUUUUGGUAAAAGUUCUUUGGAAUAGGACAUCAUAGAGGGUGAGAAUCCCGUAUUUGACCAUUAUCUUCCAACUUUGUGAUACACUUUCAAAGAGUCGGAUUGUUUGGGAAUGCAGUCCAAAAUGGGUGGUAAAUUUCAUCUAAAGCUAAAUAUUGGCGAGAGACCGAUAGCGAACAAGUACCGUGAGGGAAAGAUGAAAAGAACUUUGAAAAGAGAGUUAAACAGUACGUGAAAUUGUCAAAAGGGAAGCGUUUGACACCAGUGUUGUUUUCUCGAAAAUCAAUUAAAAAUGGCGGGAUUUUGUGUUGUAUUGACUUUAUCAGCUUUCUGCACUUUUUUCCUAUCUUUUUUAAUGCACUUUUCGUUUAACAAGUCAACAUCAAUUUCUUUUGUUGUAAAAGAGUCAUUGGAAGGUGGCUUUCUUUUCGGAGAAAGUGUUUAUAGCCUUUGACUUCUGCAAUCGGAGAGAUUGAGGUCUGCAGCGUAGAUCCUUCGGGGUUAGAUACAUUUGUGCUAAGCUAUAGCCUUUCAUAGACAACUUGUUGACUAUGAUCAGUCAUGUAGCUUACUCGCUUAUGUCAUUUUACCUACGCUUAGGAUGUUGACGAUCAGCUGAGCGCG